rnacentral:lncRNA from 1 species
AUUCUGGAAGCCUGGAGACAGUUGAAGCUAUUUUCCGGGGUAGGGGGUAUCAGGCAGCACCUAAAACGAGUCUCUGAGGAUGGAAAGCACUGUGGUCUGUGCGUGGACUUGAGGCCGGUGAGAGGAGGGGCCAGAGCCGGGCAGGGAGUGCCGGCCCGCCCAUGUCAUCACUCACUCGCUGCCCACAGCACCCCACCUCAUAGAUACUGUCUACAGAUGACACACUGAGUCCCAGACAGGAGAUGCGGCUUGCCCAAGUCAGGCCUCUGCGAGAAGACAAAGGGGCACUGGAAUCCCCAUCAAAGGCCGCAGGACACAUGUUAGGCUGCCUGAAAUUUCCGCAACAGAAAAUCAUCCUGGUUAACAAGCAUCCACUUUCAAACCAAGUGUGCCUCUGGG